CCUACGGGAGGCAGCAGUGAGGAAUAUUGGUCAAUGGGCGGGAGCCUGAACCAGCCAAGCCGCGUGAGGGAAGAAGGUACAGCGUAUCGUAAACCUCUUUUGUCAGGGAACAAAGGCGGGGACUAGUCCCCGGAUGAGGGUACCUGAAGAAAAAGCAUCGGCUAACUCCGUGCCAGCAGCCGCGGUAAUACGGAGGAUGCGAGCGUUAUCCGGAUUUAUUGGGUUGAAGGGGUGCGCAGGCGGCCUGUUAAGUCAGCGGUAAAAGCCCGGGGCUCAACCCCGGCGAGCCGUUGAAACUGGCGGGCUGGAGUUGGAGAGAAGUACGCGGAAUGCGCGGUGUAGCGGUGAAAUGCUUAGAUAUCGCGCAGAACCCCGAUGGCGAAGGCAGCGUACCGGCUCCACACUGACGCUGAGGCACGAAAGCGUGGGUAGCGAACAGGAUUAGAUACCCCUGUAGUC
rnacentral:rRNA from 1 species